rnacentral:rRNA from 1 species
CUUGAAACGGUUCGGCAAGCACAAAGGCUUGGUCCUGACUUUACUAUCAGCUCUAGCUAAACUUACACAUGCAAGUAUCCGCACCCCUGUGAGAAUGCCCCCCAGUCUCUCCCGCCCGGAAACAAGGAGCCGGUAUCAGGCACGGUCUACACCAGCCCAUGACACCUUGCUUAGCCACACCCUCAAGGGAUAUCAGCAGUGAUAAACAUUAAGCCAUGAGUGAAAACUUGACUUAGUUAAAGCUUGCUCAGCCCUAAAAUUUGAUAGGCCUCUACGCCCUAUCCGCCCGGGUACUACGAGCAUUAGCUUGAAACCCAAAGGAUUGGCGGUGCUUCACAUCCGUCUAGAGGAGCCUGUUCUAGAACCGAUAACCCCCGUUAAACCUCACCCUCCCUUGUUAAUACCGCCUAUAUACCGCCGUCGUCAGCCUACCCUGUGAAGGCCCAGAAGUGAGCAAGAUUGGUAAAACCCAAAACGUCAGGUCGAGGUGUAGUGUAUGGAAGGGGAAGAAAUGGGCUACAUUUCCUAACCCAGGAAAUACGAAUAAUGAACUGAAAUAAGCAUUAGAAGGUGGAUUUAGCAGUAAGCAGAAAAACAGAGUGUUUCGCUGAAGAUAUGGCAAUAAAGCACGCACACAU